AAAAAAAAAAAAAAAAGCGACUUGCCCAGUAAUAGCUCUAAAAUAUGGAAGAGCUGGGAUUGGACUUAGACUAUCUGGUUCUGGAACUGGGCUGGCAAGUGAAAAGCCCACAGUCCACAGCAUCCUCACUGUCCAGCCCCACUUCCACUGUUGAGCUCAGGAAUUUGUUUCCCUGCCUCCUUUUGGAAGCGAUCCUGUGUGUGCAGAAAUUAUCUCCCACAUUGGGCUGGGCUCCAGAGACAUGGUCUGAAAUUCACCACCCCCAGUGCCAGUGAUGUUUGCAUCCAUUUCUUCUUUUCCAGUCACUUGUGGGAUUUUCUUUUUAUCCUGGCAUCUGUAAAGGCAGAAUCUCUACACAGAGCCUGAGGACAGCUCAUUCACUGCAUUUCCCCAGUGUCAAACCCAGAGUGACACACUGCAGGUGUCCAGAAAAUGGCAGCCAAAGGAAUGUGUGAAAGAGGCUCCUGCACCAGCAAUGUGCUGCAUACUUUCUAUCCACCUAUCCAGAUCCAGUCUCCAUCCCCCUACUCUAAGGAUGAUGUCACCCGGCACCCUGCCUUCCAGCGUCUGUUAGAUUUGGGUGAUAGGAAGCACUAACUGGAGAUCAGAGGAUGGGAGGAGAGUGAAGACCCGGCAGUAUUUAUCCACUCUGCCAGGGUCACUUCAGGUUGGCUGCCUCCCUCGGCUGAAGAUGUCAGCUCAGUUCCUGUUGGAGUCCCUGUCCUGCACUUGUCUCUUCCUUCUUCCUGCAAGCCUAGGGCUAGUAACAGCUCCUGAGGCAUGGCCGUCCCACCGUGUGGCACCAUCCCUUAACCCUGUCCACACCUUUGUGUUAAACUCUCAUCAGUUACCCUGCUUGAGGGUGCCAUCUGCUUCCUGCUGAGUCUGACUGAUACAGAAACGGAUGCAUCAGAUACAUCCUCACUGCAAACUCAUACUAAUGGAAAAAUGUGCAUAUAUUUCAGAAUGUGCACAGAUGAUCUACUUUUGAAAAUCACUGUUUUUCCACUUCGUUCUUCCAAUUAGCACAGCUGGCUAGCCUUCGCGGAAAUCUCUCUUUAUCCCCUAAACAACAGAAUGAGUCCCUACUUCCUCCCUCGGUUCUAGCGCCAGCUCAUCUCAGUCUCUGCUCAGGCCCAAGCCUUCUCUUGCUGAUCCACCCCUGUCCUGUGCUUCCCGUCACCAUGAGCUUUCUAGAGCGGAGCACGCGGCUGCCGAAUCAGGUCGGUAACUUUCCUUCUGGGAAAUAAUUGCCGAUGCUGAGUCAAGCACCUCUCAGGACAGUUUCAGGCAGAAAGAGGCUGGUUUUCUUUCCUAAGAGUUAUUGUUUCUGGCAACGACCACACUCCAGCAGGCUCAGGCCUGAGCUGAUGAAUGGGACAACCUGAUGACCACCACAAAGUUGCGUCUGCUCCCAUCCAGCUAAUCCGAGGGCUCUCAGACAGACUGUGACUAAUGGGGACAUCUGAGGGCAGAACGUUCGAAGGCCAAGGAGGAACAAGUCCAGACAAAGUGUGAGCACACACAUCUGGAGGGCUGGGGAGCCCAUGUCACAUUCCUGGCUGGACUUUGGACUCCAGGAGGAAGGCUUCAGGUUGGGCUUGCUCAGGCUGAGGCAGUUUGGGAGAGUGGGAGUGCAGGGAACUUGGGCAUCUGAAUGCCCGGGUUUGAAUUCCACAUCUGUUGCUUUUUGGCUCUGAGAGCUCUGGCAAGUUAUGUAGCCUCCCUGGGCCUUGGUUUCUGCUUCUUUAAAAUGGGGUUAACAAUGAAGAUUGGUGUAAGAAUCACAUAUAAAGGUGCUGUCAAGAAAUCUGGUUGAAGGCUGGACAUGAUGGCUCAUGCCUGUAAUCUCAGCACCUUGGGAGGUUGAGGUGGGAGGAUCACUUGAGGCCGGGGCUUCAAGAAGAGCUUGGGUAAGACUGUAGCCAUAGCCAUAGCAAGAAUCUGUCUCUAUUUAAAAAAGAAGAAGAAGAAAAAAGGAAUGGAAAUAAAUUAAUUAAAUGGAAGUGUGGUUGACAUAGAAACCAGGAAACCAGCCUUGCCAGGUCCAAAAACAACAGGUUAUGCUGGGAAGGCACAAGAGGGGGCUUUGUUGACGGAAGUAGCAUGACCCAGGCUGGGGCUAUUCAGCUCUGGUCAGCCUCUGCCUUGGUUCCCUGCUUAGGGAGAACGGCCCCAAUCCUGGCUCCUCC
rnacentral:lncRNA from 10 species